rnacentral:lncRNA from 1 species
CAACAGGCGGAGGGGCAAAGGGAGAGGGAGAAAGAAACUUUAACAGACUCCCUGUUAACUUCAGAGUCCCACAUUUGGGGCUUGAUCUCACAACCCUGAGAUUAUGACCUGAAUGGAAACCAAGAGUUGGAUGCUCAGCCAACUGUGACACCCGGGGACCCCCCCAUGGAUACUACCUUUUAGAUAAAACUUGACCUGAAACCAAACCCUGCUAGCUAUGAAGGGGACUAGAUUAUGACAAUAAAGUACAACAAAGUGUCAUAUUCCCAGCAACCAGCCAAAUGCUUAUCAUAAUAGUAGAUAUUUAACAAAAGCGUAUUGGCCAUUGGCUCUUUCUUAAAAAAUCAGUAAUUGAUUUAAGACUACAGAAGGCAAAGAAGAAGUCAUUGAUGAAUUUGCAAGGACAUAUCAUUGUUGGCAUGUUCUCUGGGAGGUUAUAUAGUAAUAUUUCAUUUUUCCCUCCUUAACAUAUCUGUCAGUGUCUUCUUAACAUUUUUUAAUGUGAUGUUUCUUAAUGAAUUUUAGGAGUUCCUUAUAUAUUCUUUUAGUAGUUAUAUUCAAUUAACCAUAUUGUUUGUCAGUAGCUUGUCUUCUCACGUGUUUGAGGCCAUCUUUGUUUUUCUUUGAUAUAUCAGUUUCCCAUUUUAAUGAAGUUAAUUUUGUCUAUCUUUCCUGUAUAGUUAGUGCUUUUUGUAUCCUGCUAAAUAAAUCUUUCCCGGUUCUGAAAAUAGUAAUUCUUGAAAUUUAACAUGCAAAAGAAUCCCCUGGAGGGACUGUUAAAAUGAAAACUGGUCUUCCCACCCCCAGAGUUGCUAAUUCUCUAGGUUACAGCAGGGCCUAAAAAUCUGCAUUUCUAACAAGGUCCAAGGUGCUGCUAUUGCUGCUGCUAAUCCAGGAAUUGCUCUAUGAGAUAUAUACCCUUAGAUUAUUAGGAUAAACUUAUAUAGUAUGAAAUGUAUUUACAUUUAGACUGUUACUCAGUUGAAUACCUAUUUACUUUUGGUGUGAGGUACAAAAUCGAAGCUGAUUUGUUCUCUUCUAAAAUUUUCUUUCUUUCUUUCUUUCUUUCUUUCUUUCUUUCUUUCUUUCUUUCUUUCUUUCUUUCUUUCUUUCUUUCUUUCUUUUUUUUAAAUUUAUCCAUGAGAGACACAGAAGGAGAGGCAGAGACACAGGUAGAGGGAGAAGCAGGCUCCCUGCAAGGAGCCUAAUGCAAAACUUGAUCCCAGGAUCCCAGGAUGAAGCUCUGAGCCAAAGGCAGUUGCUCAACCACUGAGCCAUCCAGGCAUCCCUCCAUAUAAAGUUUUCAAAAGAAAAUGGACGAUGGAAUUACCCAAGUUAUUUAUUUUAAAUCUAAUACCCAGACACUGUGCUUUUGGGUCUUAGGAUAAUUGGCAAUUUAUGCAUUACUUUUACUCUCUUCCUCCCUUUUCAAAUUAUUAAUAUUAAUUCAGGAGAGAGCAAAGUUUUAAAAGAAAUAGCACAUAAAUAGGAAUUUCUAUUUAUCUUUACAUAGAUGUGCCUUAGACUCCGAGAAAUAGGUAACAAGGUGGCACAGCUUUAUUAAAUAAACCCUUAAUUCACAAGUAAAAUAUUACCCCU